AGAUCUGUCUGGGCUCAGAGGACGGAGCCAUUCAUUCUUCUGCGGUCCGGGCAAAACGUGGAGGAGGAUGAAGCGACUGUGAGGAAAAGAAAGAAGAAGAAGAAGAAGACGAAGAAGAAGAAGAAGAAGAAGAAAUCAAGCCAGGAUCGAGCUGCACACAAACCUCGGAGAAGACGCGAGAAGAUCCUCCAACAGGAUCCUCCAACUUUUCGACUGACUGAGCCAACACUUCCACACCUCCCUGUGGUUCCUGGAGAUGAGCCUCUCCUGGGGGU
ensembl:lncRNA